AGUGAACGCUGGCGGUAGGCCUGACACAUGCAAGUCGAACGGCAGCACAGGAGAGCUUGCUCUCUGGGUGGCGAGUGGCGGACGGGUGAGGAAUACAUCGGAAUCUACCUUUUCGUGGGGGAUAACGUAGGGAAACUUACGCUAAUACCGCAUACGACCUACGGGUGAAAGUGGGGGACCGCAAGGCCUCACGCGAUUAGAUGAGCCGAUGUCCGAUUAGCUAGUUGGCGGGGUAAUGGCCCACCAAGGCGACGAUCGGUAGCUGGUCUGAGAGGAAGAUCGGCCACACUGGAACUGAGACACGGUCCAGACUCCUACGGGAGGCAGCAGUGGGGAAUAUUGGACAAUGGGCGCAAGCCUGAUCCAGCCAUACCGCGUGGGUGAAGAAGGCCUUCGGGUUGUAAAGCCCUUUUGUUGGGAAAGAAAUCCUGUCGAUUAAUACUCGGUGGGGAUGACGGUACCCAAAGAAUAAGCACCGGCUAACUUCGUGCCAGCAGCCGCGGUAAGAC
rnacentral:rRNA from 1 species